UAAUACAUGCAAGUCGUACGCUAGCCGCUGAAUUGAUCCUUCGGGUGAAGUGAGGCAAUGACUAGAGUGGCGAACUGGUGAGUAACACGUAAGAAACCUGCCCUUUAGUGGGGGAUAACAUUUGGAAACAGAUGCUAAUACCGCGUAACAACAAAUCACACAUGUGAUCUGUUUGAAAGGUCCUUUUGGAUCGCUAGAGGAUGGUCUUGCGGCGUAUUAGCUUGUUGGUAGGGUAGAAGCCUACCAAGGCAAUGAUGCGUAGCCGAGUUGAGAGACUGGCCGGCCACAUUGGGACUGAGACACUGCCCAAACUCCUACGGGAGGCUGCAGUAGGGAAUUUUCCGCAAUGCACGAAAGUGUGACGGAGCGACGCCGCGUGUGUGAUGAAGGCUUUCGGGUCGUAAAGCACUGUUGUAAGGGAAGAAUAACUGAAUUCAGAGAAAGUUUUCAGCUUGACGGUACCUUACCAGAAAGGGAUGGCUAAAUACGUGCCAGCAGCCGCGGUAAUACGUAUGUCCCGAGCGUUAUCCGGAUUUAUUGGGCGUAAAGCGAGCGCAGACGGUUUAUUAAGUCUGAUGUGAAAUCCCGAGGCCCAACCUCGGAACUGCAUUGGAAACUGA
rnacentral:rRNA from 1 species